GACGAACGCUGGCGGCGUGCCUAAUACAUGCGAGUCGAACGCUUCUUACUAUCGAACUUCGGUUCACCAAGUAAGAGGAGUGGCGAACGGGUGAGUAACACGUGGGUAACCUGCCCAUCAGAGGGGGAUAACACUUGGAAACAGGUGCUAAUACCGCAUAAUUCAGUUUACCGCAUGGUAGAGUGAUGAAAGGCGCUUUUGCGUCACUGAUGUAUGGACCCGCGGUGCAUUAGCUAGUUGGUAAGGUAAUGGCCUACCAAGGCAACGAUGCAUAGCCGACCUGAGAGGGUGAUCGGCCACACUGGGACUGAGACACGGCCCAGACUCCUACGGGAGGCAGCAGUAGGGAAUCUUCGGCAAUGGACGAAAGUCUGACCGAGCAACGCCGCGUGAGUGAAGAAGGUUUUCGGAUCGUAAAACUCUGUUGUUAGAGAAGAACAAGGAUGAGAGUAAAAUGUUCAUCCCUUGACGGUAUCUAACCAGAAAGCCACGGCUAACUACGUGCCAGCAGCCGCCGUAA
rnacentral:rRNA from 1 species